CCGGCCCAAGACCCACGGGCACACAGUAGUGUGGCAUUGGCACAAAACACCAGUCUUGGUCCCUGUGUGUGUCUGUGGGUGUCCUGUUGGCAUCUCAGGUAGGCCAAGGCCUCCAUGGUGCCCCCAAGCACUACUUGGGGCAGCUGCCCUUUCCCCCUGCCCCAGACUGCCAGGUCAGAUCUCAGGAGACAGAGCACUCAAUGCGUGCCCCAUCUAGGUAGGCUCUGGAGAAAGCCCCCUGAACUGAGGACACCCAAACCUCAUAAGUCACUGUGAAGCUUCUUGAGUCAGAGGCCUGGGGGGCACUCAGUAGGGGGCUCCCUCUAAGGUCUGGUCCCUAAGCUCCACCUUCAAGGGUCGACAGCUUCCUCUGUAGUCCCGGCCUGUGGGUGACAGUCUGCUCAGUUGUGGGGUGUGCGAAGGGCAACCCCAAGAAUAGAAGGCCAAGACAAAGAGCUUGGCUUUUCUGAAAAAGAGACGGGGCACCCCCUUCACUGGGAACUAUUACAUGCAAAUGUCUCCUGCAUCCAUGCUAAUCAGCUGCCACCGCCUGGGACUUUGUGCACUACAAAAGAGACAGCAGAUGUGAGCUGGGGUUCCACAGCCCCAGAAAGCGCGGGAGCUUAGUGGAUAAUUAUGAAAAGCAUGGGGUUCAAAGCCACAAAACCGGCCUGCACCAGCCCCCUUGCUCCACAUGCUGUCUGCUGGGCCAGCUCGCCCAGUCUUUCUUCUCCCGUGGGCCAAGACUUUGAAGCUGUGAUUUAUGGAGCCCCAUCCCAGCCUCCGGAGAGCCAGCUGGGAGGUACUGGGGGCCACGCUCAGGGGACCAGGUUCUACCUGUGCUCUGGGCCUGGGCAAUGCCAGGCCGGGCUAGUUGACCCCUGAGCCUCACCACUACAAGGAGGCAAUCAAGCCUGCUUCCUGGCGCUAAAGAGGGUCCGUCACAUUGUGACACAUGGCAGGAGCUGGGCUGCAGCUCUCUAUGGGGACUAAGCCAGCACGAGGCCCUUUGCAGAGGGGACACCCACAGUGACCUGGAAGGUCGGGCUGAAUGAGGUGUGUCAUGGAGCAGCAAGAAGACCCCAGGCUGCUGAGGGGGAUCAUCUCCCAGAGCGACUGGGACCCUCCACACUCUGGCUCAUUGCCAAGGACAGAGAGCUCAGUACAGCAAGCUGGGCUGGGGCCUGCCUUCAGGCUGGCAAAAGGGCCUCACCCAGGAGGGGAGUACAGGGGGGCGCUCCAGAGAGGCUGGGGUGGAGGCAGCCUCCAAUGGAGGAAACUGAAGUUGGGUCAGGGAGAAGCUGCCCUGGGGCUGAGGCCCACUUGAAGUCCCUGCCUAGUACACCUCUUGAAAGAGUCUGAGUC
rnacentral:lncRNA from 1 species